UACGUAGGGGGCAAGCGUUAUCCGGAUUUACUGGGUGUAAAGGGAGCGCAGACGGAACUGCAAGUCUGAUGUGAAAGCCCGGGGCUCAACCGCGGGACUGCAUCGGAUACUGUGGAUCUGGAGUGCCGGAGGGGCAAGCGGAAUUCCUGGUGUAGCGGUGAAAUGCGUAGAUAUAUGGAGGAACACCAGUGGCGAAGGCGACUUUCUGGUCUAUUAUUGACGCUGAGGCUCGAAAGCAUGGGUAGCAAACAGGAUUAGA
rnacentral:rRNA from 1 species